GAUGAACGCUAGCGGCAGGCUUAACACAUGCAAGUCGAGGGGUAACAGAGAAUAGUUUACUAUUUUGCUGACGACCGGCGCACGGGUGAGUAACGCGUAUACAAUUUGCCUUUUACAGGAGGAUAGCCCAGAGAAAUUUGGAUUAAUACUCCAUGGUAUUACGAGAUCGCAUGGUUUUGUAAUUAAAGUUUCGGCGGUAGAAGAUGAGUAUGCGUCCUAUUAGCUAGUUGGUAAGGUAACGGCUUACCAAGGCGACGAUAGGUAGGGGUCCUGAGAGGGAGAUCCCCACACUGGUACUGAGACACGGACCAGACUCCUACGGGAGGCAGCAGUGAGGAAUAUUGGUCAAUGGAGGCAACUCUGAACCAGCCAUGCCGCGUGCAGGAAGACUGCCCUAUGGGUUGUAAACUGCUUUUAUACAGGAAGAAACUUACCCACGUGUGGGUAACUGACGGUACUGUACGAAUAAGGACCGGCUAACUCCGUG
rnacentral:rRNA from 1 species